rnacentral:rRNA from 1 species
UACGGAGGGGGCUAGCGUUGUUCGGAAUUAUUGGGCGUAAAGAGCUCGUAGGCGGUCUGUCACGUCGGCUGUGAAAUCCCGAGGCUCAACCUCGGGUCUGCAGUCGAUACGGGCAAACUAGAGUAUUGCAGGGGAGACUGGAAUUCCUGGUGUAGCGGUGAAAUGCGCAGAUAUCAGGAGGAACACCGGUGGCGAAGGCGGGUCUCUGGGCAAUAACUGACGCUGAGGAGCGAAAGCGUGGGGAGCGAACGGG